rnacentral:rRNA from 1 species
CUGAGAGGAUGACCAGCCACACUGGAACUGAGACACGGUCCAGACUCCUACGGGAGGCAGCAGUGGGGAAUAUUGCACAAUGGGCGCAAGCCUGAUGCAGCCAUGCCGCGUGUAUGAAGAAGGCCUUCGGGUUGUAAAGUACUUUCAGCGGGGAGGAAGGGAGUAAAGUUAAUACCUUUGCUCAUUGACGUUACCCGCAGAAGAAGCACCGGCUAACUCCGUGCCAGCAGCCGCGGUAAUACGGAGGGUGCAAGCGUUAAUCGGAAUUACUGGGCGUAAAGCGCACGCAGGCGGUUUGUUAAGUCAGAUGUGAAAUCCCCGGGCUCAACCUGGGAACUGCAUCUGAUACUGGCAAGCUUGAGUCUCGUAGAGGGGGGUAGAAUUCCAGGUGUAGCGGUGAAAUGCGUAGAGAUCUGGAGGAAUACCGGUGGCGAAGGCGGCCCCCUGG